rnacentral:rRNA from 1 species
AGUUUUAUGAAUUAUAUAAAAUGAAUUCUGCCCAGUGAGUUUUAAACGGCCGCAGUACUUUGACUGUGCUAAGGUAGCAUAAUAAAUUGGCUUUUAAUUGAGGUCUGGAAUCAAAGGAAUCAUGAAUAAAUACUGUCUUUAAAUAAUUUAGUAAAAUUUGCUAAUAAGGUGAAAAAUCCUUUAUAUAUAAAUUAGACGAGAAGACCCUAGGAGUUUUAAUUUUGUUGGGGCGACAUUACAGCAUUAGAACCUGUAAUAUUAUAUUUAAUUAAACAAAUUUUAUUUAUUUUAAUUAAGCUACCCUAGGGAUAACAGCAUAAUUUAAUUUUAAGUUUGUGACCUCGAUGUUGGACUAGGAAUAAGUAAAUAUUAGUAAUAUUUACUUGUGUUCUGUUCGAACAAAUUUUCCU